AUGGCGGCGGCGGCGGAGGUGAGCAACAAGAGGGUGAUCCUGAAGCGCUACGUGACGGGGUUCCCCUCCGAGGACGACAUGGAGCUCGUCCCGGCGACGGCGCGCUUGGCCGUGCCGCGGGGGUCGAACGCCGUGGUGGUCAAGAACCUCUACCUCUCCUGCGACCCCUACCUGCGCAGCCGGAUGUCCGGGAACGACGAGCCCAGCCACGUCCCGGACUUCGUCCAGGGGGAGGUUUUAACUACUUUAGGCGUAAGCAAGGUGGUGGAAUCCGGGCACCAGGAUUACAAGCCCGGCGAUCUGGUGUGGGGGUUGACAGGAUGUGAAGAGUACACUUUGAUCACUAAUCUGGAGUCGCAUUUCAAGAUCAACCAUCCUGAAUUGCCGCUGUCAUACUACACAGGAGUUCUUGGCAUGCCUGGCCUUACUGCCUAUGUUGGAUUUUUUGACGUGGCCAAGCCAAAAAAGGGCGAGUAUGUCUUUGUGUCGGCAGCGUCAGGCGCCGUUGGACAGCUUGUCGGGCAGCUUGCCAAGAUUUCUGGCUGCUAUGUGGUUGGCAGUGCCGGUUCUGAUGAGAAGGUCAACCUCCUAAAAACAAAGUUUGGGUUUGAUGAUGCCUUCAACUACAAGAAGGAGCAGGACUUGGACGCCACACUGAAGAGAUGCUUCCCAGAGGGCAUCGACAUCUACUUCGAGAACGUGGGUGGCGCGAUGCUGGACGCGGUGCUUCUCAACAUGAGGCUGCAUGGGCGGGUGUCCGUGUGCGGGUUGAUCUCGCAGUACAACCUGGAGCAGAGCGAGGGCGUGCGCAACCUUUUCUGCAUCAUCACCAAGCGCAUCCGCAUGGAGGGGUUCAUCGUGACGGAUCACUACGGCACCUACAGAAAGUUCGAAGAGGAGAUGGCCGGCUACCUCAAGGACGGGAAGAUCACCUACGUGGAGGACGUCGCCGAGGGGAUCGAGAGCUUCCCGACGGCGCUCAUCGGGCUCUUCUACGGGCGCAACGUCGGAAAGCAGCUGGUGGCCGUCGCACGGGAGUGA
rnacentral:rRNA from 1 species